AAGCAGCGCUCAUUUUCGCAAGGCAAGCGAACCUUAUCGUGAUCCUUGUGCUACACCCGAUUGAUCUUGGAAUAUACACCAACAGCUGGGUUUUGUUGGCCGGAUUUGAAUUUACCAUUGUUAUUGGGAACAUUUCCCAGUGCUGGUUUUCAACAGUGUUGCAACCAGUAGAGACGAGCACUAUGGUGCUUCAGUUUAAGAUGUCAAUCCACACUGUACUGUCCUUGGUCAUCUGCUACUAUGUACUCACCGGUACUACAGUGAUGAGUUGUCCAGCAUCAUGUACGUGUGUUGGUGUACCUAGUUACCUUGUAGAUUGCUCCGCUCGCGGAUUAACAAUGGUGCCUGGUGGAAUACCGAAUACAACAACAACACUAUAUUUGUCCAAUAAUCAGAUCCAGAAUUUAAGUGAUGGUGUGUUCUCCGGUCUACCAAACCUCUAAGCACUGUA